GAGCAGCGCUAAAAUAGCCGCCACGAGUAAACAAACCCACGCACGCACGAUCCUCUACGAGGCUCCCACGAUCCCCUCCAUCGUGACCCCCUUCCUCCGUCCUCUCUGCCCUUUCAUGUGGUUGCUCCCCCAUUCCCACCCAUGACGCGUCCGGAGGAGAUGAUGGAGAAAGAGAGGGAGGAUGAGUAGGUACAGGGCGGCGGCGGCGGCGGCAGUGGAAAUCCGACCUUCUCAAGAGCGGGCGUCCAUGAGCACCUCAACACGCUCCAAGCCGUGUAGGUCGCCAACGUCGAGCGCCUCCGCCUCAUGGACGCCGCGCCCUAGGGCGUGAGCAAGCACGAUCCCGAUCUCCGCGUGGCACUUGUCGUCUUUCGGCAUCACGGACAUCGCGCCAAUGACGACGACACCGUGGAAGACGCCGCCUACCGGCCUACGAAGACAGGAAAUCCUUAACAUCCUAUAAGCAGCAUCAACCUGGACUGGAUGUGCAUCUCUCUAAUUUACGUGGGAAGCAGCUGCAUAUAUACCGGCUGCAGCGGCAACGCGUGAUGGAAAGGACGAGCGAGCAUACCAGGGGUAAUCACAGGCUGUGUGGACGACACGAAGGCCUAACAGCUGCGGACGCAUGCAGGAACAAAUGCGGACGACAUGAUGCUGGUCAAGGACAAGCACAUCAAGGAGCUCGUUCCCAUGAAGUACAUCAAGAAGGCAAGAACGUAUGUGUGUCCUGUUUUUUUGCUUCUUUCCCGUUGUGCUUAGUUUUAGGAUUUGGUCAUCGCGGGUUCAGCAAAUCAUCUUGCUGGUGGAGUUGGUUCCUUAGUGAUGAAUUAAUCCUCGACUGAAGCGUGGUGACUAUUGCUACAGGAUUGCCAACAGUUUUACUUCAGUAAAGUUUCCUUACAUUCAACGUAAAAUGUGUUGCUUAGUUAAAUUAGCAGCAUGUAUGUAGAGGUAUGUUUAUAUUCUAGAAAUUUGCAGCUCAUACACAUGUUUAUUUUAUUAACUGCACAAAUUUACCAGCUCAUAUUUAGUGUCCAGGUAUUGAUAUUUCAUACACCAACAUUGACCCUGCAAAAAGGUACAAAAGACCUUGUAUUUUGACUGUCAAAUACCAUAUGCAUCGUUUCACUGGCAAAUUGACCAAGCAUCUUUUAUCGUGUUCUCAUUAUUAUUUGUACACUAAUGCAAUUCUAUCUCGUUUCGGUAAGGAUCUGGAGGUGGAGGGCAGCAUCAACAGCCAUGUUCUGCUUUCAAGUAGCCACUGAGCCUUGCUAGAAGAUGGAUGUACCUCAUGCAAUUAACUGGCUCUUAGUAUCCAAAGCUAGAUAUUGUGGUUUGCAAAUAAUAAAUCUUAUAAUUUGUAGUAUUGUGUUAUCCCUGCAGGUUACACAGUUAAUUGUUUGUAGUUGCCUUGAAGAAAUAUCCAUCUUCUUGAUAGCUAUACUCAGGACCUUACCUUCUCCCCUUAUAUGUGUGAAUAGUUUGAGCAUUAUUUCACAUCAUAGCCAUUGAGAGAGGAGAAAGAAAAAAUAUGUAUGAAUUAGUUUUAUUGUUAGUGUCAUUUAUAUUAUCAGCAGUUUUUGUGAUAAUAUAAAUGCAUAGCAUGUCCAUCACCACAGAAACGAAGCAAGGAAUCAAUAUGUUUGACGCCCUCGUCGA